UUGAGGGCAAUCUGGUUGCAACAUCUAUCACCCCAUUGAUGGCCAGAGUUGAUUGGGCUGAAAAGAGGAUGACCUUCCUCAAUAGAGGAGGACUAUUCUUUGGUCAAGGGUAUAUGAGUAGCUGUACUCCCCUACUAGAAAUUCCAAACAAGCUCUCAAAAAGAUAUGAAGUCAAAACAAUGAAAUACCACCACACAGCUAUUAGAGUGAGAAAAUCCAAAACACUGACAACCCCAAAUGCUGGCGAGGUUGUUGAACAGCAAGAACUCUCAUU
rnacentral:snRNA from 1 species